rnacentral:rRNA from 1 species
AUGGCAUCUUCUGAAACUAGCGCCGCACCAGCAGCACGGAGCUCAGAUGUGGCUGGACAUUCAACUCCAGAUGCCACACCGGACAGUAGUGCCGAAGCAUCACAAGGUGCCGCUGAUGGGUCUGUCAGAGUUGGCAAUAAGAGAAGAAAACUUCCAUCAUUCAUAUGGAGCGAUUUCGAGAAACUGUUUCUUGACGGGGAAUGGAAAGCUGAGUGCAUCUAUUGCGCCGAAGUUCUCCCUGCAGAAGCUGCAGGUGGCACUUCACACCUGGAGGACCACCUGAUGUCGUGUGCUGAUUGGCAGGCACUGGCAGCCCCACAAGAAUCAAGGUUGUCAAAGGCUUACGACGGGGAAGCCGAUUGGGAGGAUGUUCUGUUUGAUCAAGAUGUUGCCAGGAAACAGCUUGCGAUGAUGAUCUGUGCCCAUGAUUACCCUCUGUCUAUCGUCAAUCAUGCGGGUUUUCAGAAACUGUGUUACGCAUUACAACCAAUGUUUCAGAUGGUAUCAAGGAAUGACAUUAGAAAAGAUAUUUUGGGUAUGUAUGCAGCCGAGAAGGAUAAGAUGGUGAAGUAUUUUGCAGACUUUAAAGGUCGAGUUGCCAUCACUACGGACAUGUGGACUGCAGAACAUCAGAAGAGAGGUUACUGCAGAACAUGGUAG